GUUGGUAACUAAGUUGAUAUCCAUAGUUCAUGCUGCCACCUGCUACCAUGCUGAUGCCAUUGAUCCCUGCUGCCUCUGUUAACCCUGUUGAUGUCUAUGACUGCACCUCCCAUGCAUUCUAAUGGUUCUGUAAUCCAUGUUGAUAUACGUGGUCCUUGUCACCAUGGGAUAACAUCAUGAUUUCCAUGAAUUCUUUUGCCUCGUAUGACCAUAAUAAGUUUUCUGUGUUGCCAAUGUGAACAAUGUAAAUUUUCAAGAAUUGAAAUACCAACAGAAACUAAGUUAAUAUCCUAAACGUGUGCUGCUACCUUCAAAUAAGUUGAUAUCAUUGAUCCCUGCUGCCUCUGUUCACCAUAUGAAUGUUCAUGAUCAGAUUAUAAUGCUAUUCCUACUACUUCUGGAAGCAAUGUUGAUGCUCAUGAUCUCCUUACCACUGGACACCAGGUUGAUUUCCAUGAUCUCCCCUGCUACCAAGUCAAGGUAAGUGUUCCUUGUUGCCAAUGUGUAGAAUGGUAAUUCAGAAGAUUUAACGAACCUUUGGUAACUUAGCAGAUAUUCAUAAUUCAUGCUGCCACCUGCACCCAUGCUGAUGCCAUUGAUCCCUGCUGCCUCUGUUAACCCUGUUAAUGUCUAUGAAUGGAGCUCUCAUGCAUUCCUAUUGGUUCUAAAGCCAUGUUGAUGUGUGUAGUCCUUGUUUCCAUGGGAUAAUAUUUUGAUUGCCUUGACCUCUCUGGCCCCUUAUGACCAUAUUAAUGUAAGUGUUCUGUGUUGCCAACAUGAGGAAUGUAAAUUUCCAAGAACAGAAAUACAAACCAAAACUGAUAUCCAGAAUGCAUGCUGUCACCUCCAAACAUGUUGAAGUCAUUGAUCCCUGCUGCCUCUGGUAACCAUUUUGAUGUCCAGGAACAGACCUCCCAUGAUAUUUCUAGCAUUUCUGGAAGCCAUGUCGAUGACUGUGGUCCUUCUGGCCCCUAUAUUCCAUAAAGAUUUCCUUGAUAUCUCUUGCCAACUUUGACAAUGUUAAUUAAGUGUUCUGUGCUGUCAAUGUGAAGAACAUAAAUUUCCAAGAACUCAACAUCCAACUGAAACUAAGUUGAUAUCCAGAAUGCAUGGUGCCACCUCCAAACAUGUUGAAGUCAUUGAUCCCUCCUGCCUCUGUUAGACACAUUGAUGUUUAUGAUUGGAAUUAUAAUGAUAUUCCUAUCACAUUUGGAAUCCACGAUGAUGCCCAUUGUUUUUGUACUAGUAGAUACCAUUUUGAUUCCCGUGAUCUCUCCUGCUGUCUUUGACCUUGUUAAAUUAUGUAUUCUGUGCUGCCAACAUGAAGAAUGUUAAGUUCCAAUAUUUAACCAUUGAAAUGUUAAUUUCCAAGAUUUCAUCAAUCUUAAAAACUAAUUUUAUAUCCAUAAUUCCUGGUGUCACCUGCAUCCAUGGUCAUCUUCUUGAUUCCUGCUGCCUCUAUUAACUAUGUUGAUGUCUAUGAUCAGAACUUCCAUGCUAUUCCUAUUGGUUCUGGAAGCCAUGUUGAUGCCCAUCAUACCAACUUGUUACCACUGUGUAACAUCUUGAUAUGGAUGACCUGUCUGGACAUUUAUGACUACAUUAAGGUAAAUGUUCUGUGUUAACAAUGUGAACAGUGUAAAUUUGCAAGACUUAAACUACCAUCUGAAACUAAGUUAACUAUAUCCAUAGUUCAUGCUGCUGCCUGCAGACAAGUUGAUGCCAGUGUUCCCUGCGGCCUCUGUUAAGCAUUUUGAUAUCCACGAUCAGAUAGUCCAUGGUGUUCCUACUAUUUCUGAGAGCAUGUCAAUGCCUGUGGUCCUUCUUACUCCUUGAUAGGAAGUUUAUGCCCAUCUUUGCUGCCAUUGUGUUGCCAAUGAGGAUGUCAAUUUUCAAAAUUUAAUCUACAAUCUGAAAAUAAGUUGAUAUCCAUGAUUCAUGCUGUCACCUGCAACCACGUUGAUGUCAUUGAUCCCACAUGCCUCUGUUAACCAAGUUGAUGUCCAACAUAGGACCUACCAUGCUAUUCCUACUAUUUCUGGAAGCCAUGUUGAUGCCUGUGGUCCUUCCUACCACUGCAUACGAUGUUGAUUUCCAACAUCUCUCCUGCCCCUUGUGACCACAUUAAAGUAAGUGUUCUGUGUUGCCAAAAUGCAAAAUGAUGUUAAUUUCCAAGAUUUAACCCACCAUCCAAAAGUAAGAUGAAAUCCAUAAUUCAUGAUGCCACCUGAAACCAUGUUUGAUCCCAAGUGCCUCUGUUAACCAAAUGGAUGUCCAUUAUCGGGUGGACCUACUAUGCUAUUCCUACUAUUUCUGGAAGCCUUGUUGAUGCUUGUGGUCUUUCUUACCCAUGGAUAUGACAUUGAUGUCCAUCAUCUCUUCUGUCACCUGAGACCAUGUUGAUGCAAGAGUUCUGUGUUGCCAUCUUGAAGAAUGUUAUUUUCCGUGAUCUCAGCGACCAUCUGAACUAUGUUGGUAUCUAUAGUACAUGCUGCCACCUGUAACCUCGUUGCUAUCACUGCUGUCUGCUGCCUCCUUUUCCAAGUUGAUGUCUAUCGUAAACCUUACCAUACUAUUCCUGUUGGUUUGGAGGCCAUGUUGAUGCCUUGUGGUAUGUUUUGCUCUUGGAUAAGAUGCUGAUGUUGAUGGUCUGUCCUGCCACCCCAGACCAUGCUGAGGUAAGUUUUCUGUGUUGCCAACAUGAAGAAUAUUGAUUUCCAUGAGUUGACCUAUGGUCUGAACCUAAGUUGAUAUCUGUAAUUCAUUCUGUCCCUGAACCAUGUUGAUAUCACUGAUCCUUGCUCCUUUGUUUAUCAUGUUGAUUACCACGAUCUGACCUGCCAUGCUGUCCCUACUGCUUCUGGAAGCCGUGUUGAUGCCUGUGGUCCUUGGUGCCCCUGGAUAUGAUGUUGAUGUCGAUGUUCUGUCCUGACUCCUGAAUUGAUGCUGAGGCCACCAUAUUGAUGUCACUGAUCCUUGCUGCAUGUUCUAACUAUGGUGAUAUCCAUGAUCCAACCCUCCAUUCAAAACUUUGGUGAUGUCAUGGAUCCUUCCAUUUCUGCUAAGUUGCUGCCCAUGAUCUGCCCUACCACUCAAUCCCUGCUGUUUCUGGAAGCCAUGGUGAUGCCUGUGGUCCUUGUUGCCCCUGGAUACGAUGUUGACGUCCAUGUUCUGUCCUGCCACUUGAGACCACAUCAAGCUGUCAACCAUGUUGAGGUUACUGAACUUUGCUACUACCUGUAACCAUAUUGAUGUCUGCAGUGUACA